rnacentral:tRNA from 1 species
GCCGACCUAGCUCAACUGGUAGAGCAAUAGUAUCGUAAACUAUAGGUUGCGGGUUCAAGUCCCGCGGUCGGCU